GCGUAUCGUGCGGCGCCCCGCUCCCAUCUCGGAUACUCAGACCACUGUCGGAACUCAGAACCCGUCUCUGAGCAGACACAUCACGGGUGGAUUCUUUGUUUCAGUUAAUUCCCAAUGUAGCACUCUUAACCUAAUAAAAUAAAAUUAAAUGGACCUCAAAAGCCAAUGAAGAAUCUUCAGUCUUGGAUGAGAAAGAGCAAAAACUUCUUUAUUCCAGACACAUUCUGAUGAGCCCAUAGAAGGUGGUCACUUCAUCACAUCAAAAUGAUCAAGCGCACACACACUUUGCACACACUCAUUCUUAUACCCUGGUGUUACAUGUCACCUUUACUUUUUUUUCUAUUUUCUUCAUCCUAGCAAAGUCCCCUUUCUGGGAUUCCAUAUUUGGGUUUUCCUGUUCCCCCAUUACCCUUAUUUACGGUCUUUUCUCUAUGUCACUUAAGAAAAGAAUGUGUAUACAACUUUCACUCCCUCUGGUACAGCCAGGCACCGCUUCCUCCUGCUCUCAGGUUUUCAUGCGUGGACAACCAUUUUGCGGCCUACUUUAUCUUCCCUACAUCUACUCUGUCUCCAACUUACAGACAUCCUGGGAGAUCUCUUAGGAGCAUUCUUCACUAACAGCAUCGUAAAUCUCACCUCUUCUCUGCACAAUAAACAUGCUUAAGCCUUG